UCGCCUGUUUAUCAAAAACAUGUCUUUUUGUUUAUAAUUUAAAGUCUAAUCUGCUCCAUGAAUGAUUUUUUAAAUAGCUGCGGUAUAUUAACCGUACAAAGGUAGCAUAAUCAAUAGUUUUUUAAUUGAAAGCUGGAAUGAAUGAUUUGAUGAAAUAAUAAUUGUUUCAAUUUUAAUAAUAUUAGAAUUUUUAUUUUAGUAAAAAUACUAAAUUGAUAUUAAAAGACGAGAAGACCCUAUAGAUUUUUAUAAAUUUUAUAAAAAUUAAUUUAAAAUAAAAUUAUAUUUAAAUUAAAAUUUAUUUGGUUGGGGUAAUUAUUAAAUUUAAUUAAUUUUAAUAAAUUUUAGACAAAAAUUUUUGAAUAAUAGAUUUUAAUUUUUAAAAUAAUAGAUUAAAUUACCUUAGGGAUAACAGUGUAAUUUUUUUGGAGAGAUCUUAUUAAUAAAAAAGUUUGCUACCUCGAUGUUGAAUUAAGAUAAAAUUUUAAUGUAGAAGUUAAAAAUUUUUGGUCUGUUCGACCAUUAAAAUCUUACGUGAUCUGAGUUCAGACC
rnacentral:rRNA from 1 species